ACAGCCUCCAUAGGAACCACUGAGCUGCUUCCACUGUGUGUUACACUGGUGAGUCCAGCAGGUGGCACCCUCUGGGUUCUGUACUGAACUGUCUUUACUUUCACUUUGGUCGAUGGCGCAGUAAGAAUCUACUGCUGUUUUUGAAACCGGCUGUUGGUUUCCAGCUGAGCUUCUUCUGGUGUCUCCACACAGUGACAGUAUGGCAGCUGCUGCAGAAUCUGAAGGGAGUAACAAAGUGAGGCCUCUGAGCCACAGCCACAGCUAUCAGUUUCUUCCCCCUACCA